CAGCAGCCGCGGUAAUACGAAGGGGGCUAGCGUUGUUCGGAAUUACUGGGCGUAAAGCGCACGUAGGCGGAUUGUUAAGUUAGGGGUGAAAUCCCAGGGCUCAACCCUGGAACUGCCUUUAAUACUGGCAAUCUCGAGUCCGAGAGAGGUGAGUGGAAUUCCGAGUGUAGAGGUGAAAUUCGUAGAUAUUCGGAUGAACACCAGUGGCGAAGGCGGCUCACUGGCUCGGUACUGACGCUGAGGUGCGAAAGCGUGGGGAGCAAACAGGAUUAGAUACCCCUGUAGUCCCUGUCUCUUAUAU
rnacentral:rRNA from 1 species